rnacentral:rRNA from 1 species
UACGUAGGGUGCAAGCGUUGUCCGGAAUUAUUGGGCGUAAAGAGCUCGUAGGCGGUCUGUCGCGUCUGCUGUGAAAACUCGGGGCUUAACCCCGGGCCUGCAGUGGGUACGGGCAGACUAGAGUGCGGUAGGGAGACUGGAAUUCCUGGUGUAGCGGUGGAAUGCGCAGAUAUCAGGAGGAACACCGAUGGCGAAGGCAGGUCUCUGGGCCGUAACUGACGCUGAGGAGCGAAAGCAUGGGGAGCGAACAGG